rnacentral:rRNA from 1 species
GUGCCAGCAGCCGCGGUAAUACGUAGGGGGCAAGCGUUAUCCGGAUUUACUGGGUGUAAAGGGAGCGUAGACGGCAGGGCAAGUCUGGAGUGAAAGCCCGGGGCCCACCCCCGGGACUGCUUUGGAAACUGCCAUGCUGGAGUGCUGGAGAGGUAAGCGGAAUUCCUAGUGUAGCGGUGAAAUGCGUAUAUAUUAGGAGGAACACCAGUGGCGAAGGCGGCUUACUGGACAGUAACUGACGUUGAGGCUCGAAAGCGUGGGGAGCAAACAGGAUUAUAUACCCUGGUACUCCACGCCGUAAACGAUGAAUGCUAGGUGUCGGUGGGCAAAGCCCAUCGGUGCCGCCGCAAACGCAGUAAGCAUUCCACCUGGGGAGUACGUUCGCAAGAAUGAAACUCAAAGGAAUUGACGGGGACCCGCACAAGCGGUGGAGCAUGUGUUUUAAUUCGAAGCAGCGCGAAGAACCUUACCAAGUCUUGACAUCCCAAUGAAUGCCUGGCAAAGCAGGCAGUCCUCCGGGAUAUUGGAGACGGGUGGUGCAUGGUUGUCGUCAGCUCGUGUCGUGAGAUGUUGGGUUAAGUCCCGCAACGAGCGCAACCUCUUAUCCCCAGUAGCCAGCACGUAGAGGGUGGGCACUCUGUAGAGACUGCCAGGGACCACCUGGGAGGGAGGGUGGGGGAUGACGUCAAAUCCUCCUUGCCC